UAUGGCGCGGUUGGUGCUAUAUGCAGAGACCAAACCGGCCUGUUUCUUGGCGCUUCGGCCAUAGUGUACCGGCAUAUCAAUAAUCCUCAAACACUUGAAUCAUUGGCUAUUAGGGAAGCUCUAGCGCUGGCGAAUGAUUUAUAUGUUCAAAGCAUUCACAUGGCUUACGAUUGCAAGACGGUGGUGGAAGACGUAAAGAACGGGACUUCGGCUGAAUAUGAUGCGGUGAUACAUGAAAUCAUAGAACAUUCUUCUGGUUUUCAACUUUGUAAAAUAGUUCAUGAAUUUAGGAGUUCAAAUUUUGAGGCUCACAACUUAGCGAAGCAUGCCUUAUCUCUCGGGGGUGGCCGCCAUGUUUGGUUAGGUCAUCCUGGAGAUCUUUCUUUCGUCCCUGUAAACAUUGUGACGGGUUAA
rnacentral:rRNA from 1 species